CGUGGGUAACCUGCCUCAUACAGGGGAUAACAGUUAGAAAUGACUGCUAAUACCGCAUAAGCGCACAGUGCUGCAUGGCACAGUGUGAAAAACUCCGGUGGUAUGAGAUGGACCCGCGUCUGAUUAGCUAGUUGGAGGGGUAACGGCCCACCAAGGCAAUGAUCAGUAGCCGGUCUGAGAGGAUGAACGGCCACAUUGGGACUGAGACACGGCCCAG
rnacentral:rRNA from 1 species